rnacentral:lncRNA from 1 species
UACCUUUGAAUGACCUCGUUCUAGGCCAUGUUCAAGAAUAAGCGCUCAUUGACCCAGUUGACUGUACUCUUUAUAAUCUUCCAACAGUUCAAUUAAGUGCCUCUACAACAUCUCCAUAUGUUGGCUGGAUGCAAGGUGCCAAUAUUUCAACACUGCUUUCUCAUUAAAAUGAUCAGGGCAUAAGCCUGGAAGACUCCAGUGUGUGCCUCACCUGGGACCUCCCCAAGGGAAACAUGCCUGCCAAGCAAACCAGAAAUAGUGUCAGGGAGGAAGCACGCCCCUCUGCUGGCUCCCCUCCUGGAUCGAGUCAUUAAUGAGCACUUUUUACCCUUGGCAGGGCCAGUUCAGAAAUAAAUUUUACUGGGAGAUGCACUGAAAACUCUCAUGACAUCUGG